GACGAACGCUGGCGGCGUGCUUAACACAUGCAAGUCGAACGGAAAGGCCCUGCUUUUGUGGGGUGCUCGAGUGGCGAACGGGUGAGUAACACGUGAGUAACCUGCCCUUGACUUUGGGAUAACUUCAGGAAACUGGGGCUAAUACCGGAUAGGAGCUCCUGCUGCAUGGGGGGGGUUGGAAAGUUUCGGCGGUUGGGGAUGGACUCGCGGCUUAUCAGCUUGUUGGUGGGGUAGGGGCUUACCAAGGCUUUGACGGGUAGCCGGCCUGAGAGGGUGACCGGCCACCUGGGGACUGAGAUACGGCGCAGACGCCUACGGGAGGCAGCAGUGGGGAAUAUUGCACAAUGGGCGGAAGCCUGAUGCAGCAACGCCGCGUGCGGGAUGCCGGCCUUCGGGUUGUAAACCGCUUUCGACUGUGACGAGGAGUGAGUGACGGUAAUGGGUAAAGAAGCACCGGCUAACUACGUG
rnacentral:rRNA from 1 species